rnacentral:rRNA from 1 species
GAUGAACGCUGGCGGCGUGCCUAAUACAUGCAAGUCGAGCGAACAGUCGAGGAGCUUGCUCUUCUGACGUUAGCGGCGGACGGGUGAGUAACACGUGGAUAACCUACCUAUAAGACUGGGAUAACUUCGGGAAACCGGAGCUAAUACCGGAUAAUAUAUUGAACCGCAUGGUUCAAUAGUGAAAGACGGUUUUGCUGUCACUUAUAGAUGGAUCCGCGCCGCAUUAGCUAGUUGGUAAGGUAACGGCUUACCAAGGCAACGAUGCGUAGCCGACCUGAGAGGGUGAUCGGCCACACUGGAACUGAGACACGGUCCAGACUCCUACGGGAGGCAGCAGUAGGGAAUCUUCCGCAAUGGGCGAAAGCCUGACGGAGCAACGCCGCGUGAGUGAUGAAGGUCUUCGGAUCGUAAAACUCUGUUAUUAGGGAAGAACAAAUGUGUAAGUAACUAUGCACGUCUUGACGGUACCUAAUCAGAAAGCCACGGCUAACUACGUG